AGUCGUACGCACUGGCCCAACUGAUUGAUGGUGCUUGCACCUGAUUGACGUUGGAUCACCAGUGAGUGGCGGACGGGUGAGUAACACGUAGGUAACCUGCCCCGGAGCGAGGGAUAACAUUUGGAUACAGAUGCUAAUACCGCAUAACAACAAAAGCCACAUGGCUUUUGUUUGAAAGAUGGCUUUAGCUAUCACUCUGGGAUGGACCUGCGGUGCAUUAGCUAGUUGGUAAGGUAACGGCUUACCAAGGCGAUGAUGCAUAGCCGAGUUGAGAGACUGAUCGGCCACAAUGGAACUGAGACACGGUCCAUACUCCUACGGGAGGCAGCAGUAGGGAAUCUUCCACAAUGGGCGCAAGCCUGAUGGAGCAACACCGCGUGAGUGAAGAAGGGUUUCGGCUCGUAAAGCUCUGUUGUUGGAGAAGAACGUGCGUGAGAGUAACUGUUCACGCAGUGACGGUAUCCAACCAGAAAGUCACGGCUAACUACGUGCCAGCAGCCGCGGUAAUACGUAGGUGGCAAGCGUUAUCCGGAUUUAUUGGGCGUAAAGCGAGCGCAGGCGGUUGCUUAGGUCUGAUGUGAAAGCCUUCGGCUUAACCGAAGAAGUGCAUCGGAAACCGGGCAACUUGAGUGCAGAAGAGGACAGUGGAACUCCAUGUGUAGCGGUGGAAUGCGUAGAUAUAUGGAAGAACACCAGUGGCGAAGGCGGCUGUCUGGUCUGCAACUGACGCUGAGGCUCGAAAGCAUGGGUAGCGAACAGGAUUAGAUACCCUGGUAGUCCAUGCCGUAAACGAUGAGUGCUAGGUGU
rnacentral:rRNA from 1 species